rnacentral:rRNA from 1 species
GUAGGUGGCAAGCGUUGUCCGGAAUUAUUGGGCGCAAAGCGCGCGCAGGCGGUUCGUUUAAGUCUGAUGUGAAAGCCCACGGGCUCAACCGUGGAGGGUCAUUGGAAACUGGAGAACUUGAGUACAGAAGAGGAAAGCGGAAUUCCACGUGUAGCGGUGAAAUGCGUAGAGAUGUGGAGGAACACCAGUGGCGAAGGCGGCUUUCUGGUCUGUAACUGACGCUGAGGCGCGAAAGCGUGGGGAGCAAACAGGAUUAGAUACCCUGGUAGUCCACGCCGUAAACGAUGAGUGCUAAGUGUUAGGGGGUUUCCGCCCCUUAGUGCUGCAGCUAACGCAUUAAGCACUCCGCCUGGGGAGUACGGCCGCAAGGCUG